ensembl:lncRNA
GCGGCCGAAGUUUCAGGCGUAUGCUAAUAACCCCCGGCGCGUGGCUGAGUGUGAGCGAGCGUGUGGGACGUCGGGAGGCGUCGUGGAUUAACUGAACCGCCACACUCGGCUGUCCCUUGUCUGGACCAAAACUGCUGACUGACCCUGGCGGUCACAUUUGCCCUCUGGGGUUUUUGAAAACCUUAAAUCAAAGUUACUUUUCUCCCUGGCAACUCCCAAGGCUACUUCCGCGGCCUCUGGGCUGUGAACUGAUAAGGACGUGAGUUUUCCCGACCAGGGGUGAGCAUACCAGUGACAAAUCAGCUCUCUAGAGGAAGGACCAGGGUAAGAAGCCCAUGAAGAAGCAGAUUGGUAUGCAUUUAAGCAAGGAAUUCUGGAGUCCCAGGCUGUGUUCUCUGGAAGCAUCUGGAGUCCAAGAUGUUUAUUAGGGACCAACACCUGUGAAAAGAAGAGGGCAGCAGCAGAAUUGGGCCAAGAGAGAAGUCAAAUUGCAAAGCAGAACUGACAAGAUCUUGGCCCGUUUGGCAGGGAACUCUGAAGUCAGACUGCCCAUCAGAGCUGACUCACGUCAGCCUCAGGCCUUUAUCCUUCAGCGCCACUCUCCUCUCUUUGCUCUGUUACUGGAUGCAGGCUUUUGGAACAGGGCGUGAUAUCAGGGAUGGAAUGGGGACUAAGGAAUGAAUUGUCCCUGUCCUCAUGAAAUUUAAAGUCUGGAGAGAAACUGGACAUUGAGCAGGCAAUCAUGUGCCAGGAAGAGAUCAUCUCUAUCCAAGAGUCUCCAUGACAAGCAGAAGAAAUAUUAAGAAAACUACACCAAGGCAGAUUAUAAUAACAUUAAAAUCACUCAAAACUGGCAUUAAAGAGACAUUUUUGGAAGCAGGUAGUGGGAAAAAGACCUCUUAAAUACAGAGGAACAAAGAUAAAGGUACCAGUUGAUUUGUCAUUGAAAACAAUGCAAGUCAAGAGUCAGUGGAGCAACAUUUUUAACUUGUUUGAAAGAAAAAAACUUGUCAGACUAGGAUUCUUUGCACAGUGAAAAGAUCAUUUGAAAUCAAAGGAGGAAUAAAGCCUUGUUCAGACAUACAGAUGCUGAGAAAAAAAUUUCAACAGCAUAUUUAUAUUACAGGAAAUAUUAAAGGAAAUUUAAACUUCCUUCAGGUAGAAGAAAAAUGAUACUGUAUAGGAAUCUGGAUCUGCACAAAGGAAAGAAGAGCUCUGGAAAUCACACUUUGUGGGUUAAAAAAAAUGUUUUCAUUUUAUUUAAAUCCUUUUAAAAGAUAAUGAACUUUUAUGACUACAGAGACAAAUAUGC